rnacentral:misc_RNA from 1 species
GAAAUGCGAUAAGUAAUGUGAAUUGCAGAAUUCAGUGAAUCAUCGAAUCUUUGAACGCACAUUGCGCCCAUUAGUAUUCUAGUGGGCAUGCCUGUUCGAGCGUCAUUUAGUCCACUUAAGCCUUUGCUUAGUAUUGGGAAUCUACUUUUACUCUGUAGUUGUAGUUCCUCAAAGACAGCGGCGGAGUCGUGGUUUUACUCUGAGCUUAGUAAUUUUUUUCUAGCUUUCGAGUUGCCAUUGCCCCCUUGCCGUAAAACACCCUUUAUUUUUUAAUGGUUGACCUCGGAUCAGGUAGGAAUACCCGCUGAACUUAA